GAAAGGAAAAGGGCAGGACGAUAAGGGUGUGUGAGGCGCACAAAUCGAGCCUCCCCCCGCCAACCCGCACUCACGCAGCACAGCACCCGCACUUCUCCGCCUCGCCUGUGUCGAGUUGUUGCACAUACUUUUCUUCGUUGUUCCGCAGGCGGGCGGGAGCGGACGCUUGAGAGUGACACCGACGCACGCACACGCCCAGGCAACGGAGGCGACUUCAUACUUGCCCUUGUGACAGGUUCUUCCGUCACUCUCCGGCCUUGCCGCUCCCUCCGACGGCCACAGCGACGCUGAACGUCGGCGAAGCGAGAAAGAACACGGAAAAGGUAAGGGACAUCGCUGUGGCGCAAUGGAGCCGCACGUGUUUUGCGGCCCCGACUUCAUUCUUGAGGUACCGCCCCAGAGUGUCUCCCACGUGCUGGAGAGUGCGCAAGAGGCGGCGGCGGCGGUGGCAACACGGUCACCGGCCGAGUUCUCUGCGCCCCCUACUUCUGCGGAGUCAGAUUGGCCAGACAACACAACCAGCCACGCCAGCAGUGGAACCGGCGGUGCUGCGACACACGGCUGGGCUGUGCGACCAUCAGCCCUGCUACGCAUCCAAAAUGAGCUCUACGGCGUUUGCACAGCCGAGGUGCGUCGACACGUGCACGCCAACAGGGAGCUCACCGCGUGCAUGAAGACAGAUGUGCGCCGAGGCAUGGAAAUUGUGUCACGGCGCAUGGCUCAUUUCGGCCGCAUUGCCCUUCCUGCAAGCUAUGGUGGCACCAGUGGCGGUGGCGUGCCGCCCCCUCCGUCCGAGCUGACUUUUGUGCAGGUGAAGCCGACAACAGCGCUCAGUCUGGAGGAGGUAGCAUCGAUACAGCAGUCGGUGCGCGUGGCGGGCGCGCCCUCCUCUUCGGCCACUGCAGCCGCUUCCGCUGCUGCUGGGGCAUCUUCACCAUCAGCGCCAUCGACUUCCUCCGCUAACACGUACCUGCUGCUCUGCGUAACGGACUCGCGCGUCGCCGCGCAGCUGCACAUGCUGUGCCUCCGCAAUGCCUACAUUUCUCUGCCCCAUGCCUGCCGCCUGCUUAACUACUUUGUCUCCACUGGUCGCGCCGCCGCCAUCGUGCCAAGCCAAGUGCUGCAGAAGCGGGAGCUGCUCAGGUCGCACCUCAACUUCGAUGCUGAGCUGUGGGGUGUGCUCGAGUCGAAGCUCACAGAUGAGCUGGUGGAGCAGGUGCGAAGCUCUGGCGCCGCGCCAAAUGGCGGCCGACUCUUCACGGCUUUCGAGCAGCACGAGCAGAACGUGAAGGCGGUGCUACGCUACUGCGAGCAGAACGUGCGCUACGCAGGUGUCUUUGACGACAACGAGGAGGCGAGCCCGUUUCUGCUGGCGAUGGGGCUGUGCUGGCGACUCGGGCUCACGAUGGAUGACGUGUGCCGGCACUUUGCGCGUCACCCUCGCCGCGUCGUUCGCGCCUUGGCGCUCUACCUCGCCCGCUACACCCUCGCGCCGGAGGACUACGUGUACUUCUUUAUACCGUCUCUCUGCGAUGAGGUCAUUAUUGCCUGCACCGAAAAUGCUCAGGUCACAUUCUCGAUGAAGGACUUGAGCCGGCAGCUGCUCACGAAGAAUGACGUCGUGGAUGCGUGGCUGCCAAUUUUGUCGAAACACUGGCAAGAAGAUGUGGUGUUGCCGGCUAUGGCGUUCAUGGAGACCUGCUGGAAGCUGCAAGCCCAAGGCGGGGGCGGCGAGGCUGACACGGCUGCUGCGUCACAAGAUGCAGCCACAGGAGCUUCACAGCUGUUCAAGGAGGCCGACGGGACUGCCAGGGGCGGGCCGGAGCGCGUGCACGGCGAAGGCCGCGGCAUCGCUGCCACCUUUGGAUUUCGCAGUAUUGCUGAGAUUGCCGACCACGCCGCGCAGCACGCGCGUGUGCUGGUGCCGCAGAGCAUCGCGACGAUACUGAAACGGCGCCGCGGCCUAGAAGAGGAGGUCUUUGGUGGUGGUGGCGGCGGCCGAGGUGGAGACGACGACGAUGCUGUGGACGUCCUCGGCGAUGACUACGAUGACGACGACUUCCUCAUCCAUGUCGACGUGCGCGGCGGUGGCGAGACCGGCGAUGCUGAGGGGCCUGGCUCCAUGAAAGUCCAGCGCAACAGCGGUAGCAGCAGACUUGCCUUUCCCUCCACGAAGUGUGCGCGAACCGAUGAGGGCAAGGAUAGCAGCGGCGUUGUGCUCGAUCCGCAUCGGCGCAUUAUGCGGGAAGGGCUAAAGCUGACGCUGUCCUUGCUCGGCCGCCGCACUCUCUUCAGGAAGGAUGAUGAGCACUACAUCGAGUUCUGAAGGUGCGCUCAUGUGUGCUGCGGUGCUGCGGGAGAGGGAAGGAGUAGUCCUCUCAACCAGGUCUGUGACGGAAGACUUCACACAGCCAUAAACACACCAAGGCAAGUGCGCACCGGUGAAUGCCGCACCGAAUUUAAAUGAAAAUGCACACACAGGCUCGCGCACAUAGCACGAAGAGCGCUUGAGCAACAAGGGUGAUCACGCGAAGGAAGGCGGGGAAUCUCCAUAGCACGCCACACCUCUUUCCGUAAGAGUGGGUGAAGGGCGGUGCUGGCCCCUCAGCACACCGU
rnacentral:misc_RNA from 1 species